AUUGAACGCUGGCGGCAUGCCUUACACAUGCAAGUCGAACGGUAACAGGUCUUCGGAUGCUGACGAGUGGCGAACGGGUGAGUAAUACAUCGGAACGUGCCUAGUAGUGGGGGAUAACUACUCGAAAGAGUGGCUAAUACCGCAUGAGAUCUACGGAUGAAAGCAGGGGAUCGCAGGACCUUGUGCUACUAGAGCGGCCGAUGGCAGAUUAGGGAGUUGGUGGGAUAAAAGCUUACCAAGCCGACGAUCUGUAGCUGGUCUGAGAGGACGAUCAGCCACACUGGGACUGAGACACGGCCCAGACUCCUACGGGAGGCAGCAGUGGGGAAUUUUGGACAAUGGGCGAAAGCCUGAUCCAGCAAUGCCGCGUGCAGGAUGAAGGCCUUCGGGUUGUAAACUGCUUUUGUACGGAACGAAAAGCCCCGGGUUAAUACCCUGGGGUCAUGACGGUACCGUAAGAAUAAGCACCGGCUAACUACGUGCCAGCAGCCGCGGUAA
rnacentral:rRNA from 1 species